UCUAGUGGUUCAUCGGAGGGGACACACCUGAUUCUCAUUUCGAACUCAGAAGUUAAGCCCUCUUGAGGCGAUGAUAGUCCUUCGGGGCAAAAGUAGUUAGCCGCUAGAA
rnacentral:rRNA from 1 species